rnacentral:misc_RNA from 1 species
UGGAUGCAGUCAUGUGAUCUCAACCGUUGUGUGUCGCGCGUGUCCACGUGAUUACCAAUCUCUGAAAUCUCGGGUUAGUAAUUUAUACAUUUGUGGACGAUUUUGGAAAUGUUGGCUUUGACUCAAUGAUACCAGGCAUUUCUGUGGUUACUUAGACACAGCAGUGAUGCUGCGCGUUUGUUUGUUUGGUCACUUGAUCACCACCAUUGAGACAUUGCCGACUGUUUUGGUGAUUUUCAUGUUUAACAAAAUGUCAACUAUACUAGUUGAGGUGAUCGACAUUGGGGUGACCUAACCUUGGGGUGCCCGACAUUGAUCCUAUUUCUUUGGAAGUGGUUUCGGAGAGCUUGGAGCGAACUUGUUGGGGGGCCUCACUUUGAAUGUCUGUAGAUUGUUCCGCCGUUUCUCUGCAUACUGUUCGGGUUAUUCCAACCAGUCCUUUCCACUCUACAGCUUUGGUAGGCUUGUUGAUGAUUUGCUGGACGAUGAUACGGGCAAUAACACCAGCGUCCUUGGACUAGAGAAACAGGAACUUGGCUGUUUGAUUUUUACCGUUUACACCAUUCCAAUGACAUCGAUUUCAGUAGGACAAGUCCAAUAUCAGUCACUCUAGAUCGUGGGUUAAUGCUCCUUCAUAUCCGGUAUUCACAGCCCCAAAUAUUCGCCCAUUCAAGCUGAAACUAGACGAAACUAGACUCAUAUGAAAGCCUGGAUCGCAACGAGUACAAUGAUACAUAUCCUGUCUCUACAGAGUCAGCACAGGCCAAGUUAGUCUGGGGUCAUUGACUCACUCAGACCUCAACUCCGCGGGUUACGGUCCUAUCGACAGGAUCUCAUUGGACUCCUUUCCGUUGGUGUCACGCAUCAAUUUAUCAUCAAAUAACGUGUCUAUCUCUCUCAUUGCAUUCAGAUGUCUUACUGACCAUCUAAUUAGUUGGGAAUAAAGGGAGUUAUCCAACUAAUUAGUUGAGAAUAAAGGACGGGUUACUGGAAUCACAAACAAUGUAAACCCCAGUUUUGAUUGUAUCUCGUACGCUCACGUGACCCCGUAAAUGAGCUACGGCUCGCUAUUCUGCCCGCAGCAUUUGAGUUGUUAACAGAGUCCAAAAUAGUUCCCUUAUGGCUUGAUUCGACAAAGCUACGGUACAGUACAGGUAUU